UACGGAAGGCAGCAGUGGGGAAUAUUGCACAAUGGGCGCAAGCCUGAUGCAGCCAUGCCGCGUGUAUGAAGAAGGCCUUCGGGUUGUAAAGUACUUUCAGUCGUGAGGAAGGUGUUAAGGUUAAUAACCUUAGCAAUUGACGUUAGCGACAGAAGAAGCACCGGCUAACUCCGUGCCAGCAGCCGCGGUAAUACGGAGGGUGCGAGCGUUAAUCGGAAUUACUGGGCGUAAAGGGCACGCAGGCGGUUAAUUAAGUUGGAUGUGAAAUCCCCGGGCUUAACCUGGGAAUGGCAUUCAAGACUGGUUAGCUAGAGUCUUGUAGAGGGGGUAGAAUUCCAUGUGUAGCGGUGAAAUGCGUAGAGAUGUGGAGGAAUACCGGGUGGCGAAGGCGGCCCCUGGGACAAAGACUGACGCUCAUGUGUGAAAGCGUGGGGAGCAAACGAGGAUUAGAUACC
rnacentral:rRNA from 1 species